rnacentral:tRNA from 1 species
GGGGUUGUGGCUCAGCGGUAGAGCGCUCGCUAGCACGUGUGGUGCUGGGUUUGAUCCUCAGCACCACA